AUGAACGCCGGUGCCCCGCCGGCGCCCGGCCGGUUCACCCCGGGCGACGGCACCUCCGUGGGCAUGUUCAGCUCCGACCGCAUCGGCGGCUUCGGCUACGGCGUCGGCGUCUCCGUCGGCAUCCUCCUCCUCAUCACCACCAUCACGCUCGCCUCCUACUUCUGCACCCGCGCGCCCCCGCCCGGCCCGGAGGCCGCCGCCGACGCCGAAGGGACGGCCCGGCGAAGGCGGCGUGCGCGGCGCCGCGAGGGCGGCGGCGACAACGAUGGCGGCGGGGCAACCGGCGACGACGUCGACGUGGAGCUCGGCAUCGACGAGGCCACGCUCAAGGGGUACCCGGAGGUGGUGUACGGCGAGGCGCGGAGGAGCAAGAACAGGAAGCUGGGCACCACCUGCACCUGCUGCUCCGUGUGCCUCGACAACUACGGCGACGGCGACGUGCUCCGCAUGCUGCCGGACUGCGGCCACCUGUUCCACCGGGAGUGCGUCGACCCCUGGCUCCGGAAGCACCCGACCUGCCCCGUCUGCCGGACCUCGCCGCUGCCCAGCCCCUUGCCCACGCCCCUCGCGGAGGUCACGCCGCUGGCCAUGACGAGGCUGUCCUCCUGA
rnacentral:rRNA from 1 species